UACAGAGGAUGCAAGCGUUAUCCGGAAUGAUUGGGCGUAAAGCGUCUGUAGGUGGCUUUUUAAGUCCGCCGUCAAAUCCCAGGGCUCAACCCUGGACAGGCGGUGGAAACUACCAAGCUGGAGUACGGUAGGGGCAGAGGGAAUUUCCGGUGGAGCGGUGAAAUGCGCAGAUAUCAGGAGGAACACCGAUGGCGAAGGCAGGUCUCUGGGCCGAUACUGACGCUGAGGAGCGAAAGCGUGGGGAGCGAACAGG
rnacentral:rRNA from 1 species